rnacentral:rRNA from 1 species
AGCAGCCGCGGUAAUUCCAGCUCCAAUAGCGUAUAUUAAAGUCGUUGCAGUUAAAAAGCUCGUAGUUGAAUUUCGGGACCAAUAUGUCGGUCGUGCCUCGGUACGUACUGGUGUCAUUGGUUUCUCCCUUCUGAGGAUCCUUGAUGUCAUUAAUUUGGUGUCUUGGGGAAUCAGGACUGUUACCUUGAAAAAAUUAGAGUGUUUAAAGCAGGCAUACGCUUGAAUACAUUAGCAUGGAAUAAUGAAAUAGGACGUUCGAUUCUAUUUUGUUGGUUUCUAGGAUCGACGUAAUGAUUAAUAGGGAUAGUUGGGGGCAUUAGUAUUCAAUUGUCAGAGGUGAAAUUCUUGGAUUUAUUGAUGACUAACUACUGCGAAAGCAUUUGCCAAGGAUGUUUUCAUUAAUCAAGAACGAACGUUAGGGGAUCGAAGACGAUCAGAUACCGUCGUAGUCUUAACCAUAAACUAUGCCGACUAGGGAUCGGAUGAUGUUAAUUUUUAAUGA